CCUACGGGUGGCAGCAGUGGGGAAUAUUGCGCAAUGGGCGAAAGCCUGACGCAGCGACGCCGCGUGAGGGAUGAAGGUCUUCGGAUCGUAAACCUCUGUCAGCAGGGAAGAACGGUCACUGUGCUAAUCAGCAGUGAAUUGACGGUACCUGCACAGGAAGCACCGGCUAACUCCGUGCCAGCAGCCGCGGUAAUACGGAGGGUGCGAGCGUUAAUCGGAAUUACUGGGCGUAAAGCGCUCGUAGGCGGUAUGUCAAGUCAAGGGGUAAAUCCCCGCGCUCAACGUGGGAACUGCCUUUGAAACUGGCAAACUGGAGUGGGUGAGAGGAUAGUGGAAUUCCAGGUGAAGGAGUGAAAUGCGUAGAUAUAUGGAGGAACAUCAGUGGCGAAGGCGACUAUCUGGCACAUAACUGACGCUGAGGAGCGAAAGCGUGGGUAGCAAACAGGAUUAGAUACCCGGGUAGUC
rnacentral:rRNA from 1 species